UGGAAUUCAGAAGAAAAUUGACACAGAAUUCUUUGGGCAUCAGUCUCCAAAUGAUCUUUCACCUUUAACGGAGCAGCAGAGCAUUGUCAAAGAGUUACCCUUCCUGUCACUGAUAAAAAGAACAGGGAAAGCCAAAGAUCUGUGAGAAGAUUCAAGCGACUACUGACAUCCUUUCAAUUUGCCUUAGUCUCAACAGGGUUUUCUCUUGUUGCUUCUUAAGUUCAGCAGAGCAAGGAAAGAAUGGGAAGCACACUGUGCACUUGAAGUCACAAGACAUGUGGAAGGGAGGAGAGGAAAACCGUAGGAAGCACACUUCAGAGACAUUGGUACAACGCAAGAGAGAGACAUCCAAACGUUUAAAACCACAAGUCCCCAUCUGUCACAGAGCUGCAGAAGAGCUGACAUUGGAAGCAUGCAAGGCUCCUUCCAGAUGUCUGAAGAAGGCCUCAUCUGCAUCUUCUUCCUGAUGAAGCAAUCUGUACCAGACAUGCACAGCAGUAGCUCCCAUGUAUCCUGUCCUCCCAUGUUCUCCAAGGAUGUGGUGUGAUAACCUGAGUCUUGGCUCACCAAAGCCUGCAAUGAGUCAAGAAAGAAACAUGGUGUUGAAAAUGAACUUUGCACAAAGAUGUGAUUUUGUGAAGAACAUGAUCCUAAUCUGAGGUUUAAGAACUCCACACCAAAAAGUGCCCUUCCAGUGCUCUGAGGCCCCAUGACAGAUACUUGAAACAGAAUAAAG